ACGAUGUUGCUUCUGGUUCUUCUCCUAGCACAAGCUACUUUGAUUCCACGAGAAUCGUCGGUGCUACAUCGCUCGACGUCAACAAUGAUGCCAGUGAUUUUACUUUUGAUUUUGGAUCUGUCGACGAUGAUGCUAGUGAUUUAACCGGAGAAUCAAUGGUUUCCUUUUAAUUUUAGAUCUGUGGUUUGGCUGUGGUCUGCGGAGGUGAUGACGCUAGCAGUGAUAGUUAGGUGGAGGUGGUCCCUGGUGGUGCUGGUGGGUGAUGUAGCGGGUGCUUUGUGUGUGGGAUGGCAUUGGUGAUGCUCGAUCUCGUCAUGGUUGCUGCAAAUCGAAGUCAGAGAAGAGAAUGGGUAGUUGUGGUUGUUGGUGGCGACGACAACGGUGUCGGUGGCGGCGACGACUAUGGCGGCGGAGGAAUGGGACAAACUAUGUAGUGGUUACGAUGGUGGUGGCAAUUCAUUGGUAAGUUGCGGUGGUUGUGUUGCAGGUGUUAAUUGUGGUGGCACAGGAAUUGGCUUUGGUUCUGGUAUGUUGGAAUGGCAAUGGUGGCGAUGAUUUGUUGGUGGUUGGGCAAAUUUUUUUUUUUUUUUAAAAAAAAUUUUUGGUUGACUAUUUUGUUGGUGUUUGACGGCAAUUGUGGUUUUGCAACGUCUGGUGGAGGUAACAGUGAUAGUGAUGGUGGUUGUCAUGACGACAAUGGUGGGUGGGAUGGGAUGGGGUUGGAUGUCUGUUAUCAAUUAUUUGGUCGAUUGUAACUCAUAAUUGGUUAAUUUGUAAUAUGUGACCUAAAAAUUGUGACUGUAACUCACAAUUGAUUAAGUUGUGAUUGAAAAAUUAAUCGUGAUCAAUUAAUCUAAUAAUUUGUAAUGAAUAAAUGAGUUGUGACCAA
rnacentral:lncRNA from 1 species